GUCAGUCUGGCGUGGACAUGGAGACGUGGAUCUUGAGGGGGUCUCUCAUGCUGAUGAGCGUAGCUGUGCUGACAGGGUUUGCCAUGUAUGCGAAGAAUGCACUGGGUCGACCAAACAUGCAGCGACCAAAAAUGCGGAGAAUAAAAAUAAAAAGGCGUCCAGAGAAGCUUAAAAGAAAGUUUGAAAGACAUUGUGAUGUCGACAAAGUGUUGUCUUUGGCGGAAGUCG